CUCCCACUGCUGUUCAGCCCCGCUCAUAUCUGCAAUGACCUCUCCGUCCUGUGCACUUGGGGUUUGCAUUCAACAAACGCAUACUUUCAAUCGUUGAUUGUAUGCAUCCAACAAGUCUUCGAACCUAACAGCCAGUCGCCACCAGUGGGCUCCCAUUCAGAUGAGUGUGAAUCUGAGUGCAGAGAUGAUAAAUGUGGGAUGUCAGCUGGUGAUGUCUGGUGUCCCUGAAGCUCCAGUAUUGUUCAACCGCUGGGCCUGCCAGAGCAGCUAGCUGGCUGAGCAUGUGACGGACAAGCAGACAAGGGUGGAAAACAAGACGGGAAAGAAUGGAGUUUUAGGAUGUUCUCUGUGCGUGUAUGUGACUGUUUUUUGCAAGAGCAUAGAUGAUUAACAUAGGACAUGCAGAGGGCUGUGAUUCAUCAUCAUGUUGUGGUCUGUCACCGCCUGCACCCGUGUCCUACUUUACUGUAUUCAUGCAUGUUCUCUGCUCUAGGGCUGGUUGAUAGGGUUGAAAAUAUCAAGUUAAGUUGUGACCCUUGAUUUCUUGACACCCUUUGUUACUGGUGGUUCAGCAACAACUUUACUAACUAUUGUAUCUGAUUACAGUUUUUCCUAAAGACAGAUCAGUCAGUAAUUGGCCAGUUUUCAUCAUACUGAGCAACCACGAUGUGAUUUCAUGUUCUGCACAAAGAAAGUAGUUUUGAUAUAACAGCAGGGUACAGUAAAAGAAGUUGGAUGGUUACCUUGCUGAGAAGUUCGAGAUGUGCAGCCUGUCGUCUAACUGCUCACUGCAGCUUGUCCUAGCAAUAUUUAAAACGGAUCCACUGUCAAAAAUUGCUAAAAAUGGCUAUACAUUGUUUUGUAGAUGCAUUUUUGAUGAACAAUCGCUGUCUGAUACAUUGUAUUUCCUGUGACUGCUUCACAAUAAAAGCCAGUUGUUUGUGUUUAAUGUGAA